rnacentral:rRNA from 1 species
GUGGCGAGCGGCGGACGGGUGAGUAAUGCCUAGGAAUCUGCCUAGUAGUGGGGGAUAACGUCCGGAAACGGGCGCUAAUACCGCAUACGUCCUACGGGAGAAAGUGGGGGAUCUUCGGACCUCACGCUAUUAGAUGAGCCUAGGUCGGAUUAUCUAGUUGGUGAGGUAAUGGCUCACCAAGGCGACGAUCCGUAACUGGUCUGAGAGGAUGAUCAGUCACACUGGAACUGAGACACGGUCCAGACUCCUACGGGAGGCAGCAGUGGGGAAUAUUGGACAAUGGGCGAAAGCCUGAUCCAGCCAUGCCGCGUGUGUGAAGAAGGUCUUCGGAUUGUAAAGCACUUUAAGUUGGGAGGAAGGGCAGUUACCUAAUACGUGAUUGUUUUGACGUUACCGACAGAAUAAGCACCGGCUAACUCUGUGCCAGCAGCCGCGGUAAUACAGAGGGUGCAAGCGUUAAUCGGAAUUACUGGGCGUAAAGCGCGCGUAGGUGGUUUGUUAAGUUGGAUGUGAAAGCCCCGGGCUCAACCUGGGAACUGCAUCCAAAACUGGCAAGCUAGAGUAUGGUAGAGGGUGGUGGAAUUUCCUGUGUAGCGGUGAAAUGCGUAGAUAUAGGAAGGAACACCAGUGGCGAANGCGACCACCUGGACUGAUACUGACACUGANGUGCGAAAGCGUGGGGAGCAAACAGGAUUAGAUACCCUGGUAGUCCACGCCGUAAACGAUGUCAACUAGCCGUUGGGAGCC